CAGAGCCUACGGGAGGCAGCAGUGAGGAAUAUUGGUCAAUGGACGGAAGUCUGAACCAGCCAUGCCGCGUGCAGGAAGACGGCUCUAUGAGUUGUAAACUGCUUUUGUACAAGGGUAAACCUGAAUACGUGCAUUCAGCUGAAAGUACGGUACGAAUAAGGAUCGGCUAACUCCGUGCCAGCAGCCGCGGUAAUACGGAGGAUCCGAGCGUUAUCCGGAUUCAUUGGGUUUAAAGGGUGCGUAGGUUGUUAUAUAAGUUAGCGGUGAAAUACCGAUGCUCAACAUCGGGGCUGCCGCUAAUACUG
rnacentral:rRNA from 1 species